UUUUUUUUUUGGUGGUGCUGGGGAUCAAACCCAGAGCCUUGUGCAUUCAAGGCAAGCACUCUACCAACUGAGCUAUAUUCCCAGGCUGAUUUUCAUAUCAACAUUUAUUUUCCACUAUCCCUGUUACCUUCCCACAAGGGAUUUGGGUUUAGAAAACAAGACUAUUGCUCCUAAAAAUUUGUGAGUAACAAGUGAUACUAGUUCUCCAACCAAAGUAAGCUUGGAAGAGAUAAAACCAGACCUCUGAUUUGAGCCUAGAAAGAGAAAUUUAGGAACCCAGUUUUCUUGGGGUAGUAAUCUUGUACAUUCCCAAUCUGGAAAUCAAAACAAUCCCUUUUAGAAUUUUUGUUUCCCCCCUUUGGAGUACAGAUUGUUGUUUUCACCCCCCAGAUCUGUGAAUUGGAAUCUUAGCUUGAAAUCUAAUCCAUUUGAGUGCAUUCUUCCACCUCAUUGAGCUCCUUGAAUGAUUUAUCUUGAAAGACAAAGUUUUAUCCUAACUUUAUAUUUUUCAGUUAUUUAUAGUCCUACAUCUUUUACACUUACUGCUUUUCUGGCUUUGAAUAGGUCACUGUGAAGGUUCGUGUCUGAGUGAUUUCAGCCUAUCAUGGAGUCAUUCUUAAGAUUUGAGGUUUGGAUUGUUCUUGAAUCAACCCAAUAAAUACCAGCCUUAGCUUCUUGUACAGCAUCGCCUCUGAGCCAUUGCAGAUUGCGCUCUUGGGCCUCUGUCUAGCCACACUUCUUAGCACCAGUAGAGGCUCUCUAGCAGGUGGCUUGAACCCAAAAACUUCUUACCUCUACUUUGGUUUCAUUGAGAUCCAUAAGCAUAAUAGAC
rnacentral:lncRNA from 1 species